AUUGAACGCUGGCGGCAUGCCUUACACAUGCAAGUCGAACGGUAACGGGCCUUCGGGUGCCGACGAGUGGCGAACGGGUGAGUAAUGUAUCGGAACGUACCUUUCAGUGGGGGAUAACGUAGCGAAAGUUACGCUAAUACCGCAUAUUCUGUGAGCAGGAAAGCAGGGGAUCGCAAGACCUUGCGCUGAUUGAGCGGCCGAUAUCAGAUUAGCUAGUUGGUGAGGUAAAGGCUCACCAAGGCGACGAUCUGUAGCGGGUCUGAGAGGAUGAUCCGCCACACUGGAACUGAGACACGGUCCAGACUCCUACGGGAGGCAGCAGUGGGGAAUUUUGGACAAUGGGGGCAACCCUGAUCCAGCCAUGCCGCGUGAGUGAAGAAGGCCUUCGGGUUGGUAAAG
rnacentral:rRNA from 1 species